rnacentral:rRNA from 1 species
UACGUAGGGUGCGAGCGUUAAUCGGAAUUACUGGGCGUAAAGCGUACGUAGGCGGCUUUGUAAGUUAGAGGUGAAAGCCCGGGGCUCAACCCCGGAAUUGCCUUUAAGACUGCAUCGCUUGAACGUCGGAGAGGUGAGUGGAAUUCCAGGUGUAGCGGUGAAAUGCGUAGAUAUCUGGAGGAACACCGGUGGCGAAGGCGGCAUCCUGGACCGGUAUUGACGCUGAGGCGCGAAAGCCAGGGGAGCAAACGGG